UACGUAGGGUGCAAGCGUUAAUCGGAAUUACUGGGCGUAAAGCGUGCGCAGGCGGCUUUGUAAGUCAGAUGUGAAAUCCCCGGGCUUAACCUGGGAACUGCAUUUGUGACUGCAUGGCUGGAGUGCGGCAGAGGGGGAUGGAAUUCCGCGUGUAGCAGUGAAAUGCGUAGAUAUGCGGAGGAACACCGAUGGCGAAGGCAAUCCCCUGGGCCUGCACUGACGCUCAUGCACGAAAGCGUGGGGAGCAAACAGG
rnacentral:rRNA from 1 species